rnacentral:lncRNA from 1 species
CGCCAGCUCAUUUCUCACAUUUACAUGGGGAAAAUUUGAGCUAGCGGUCAGGCCGCCAAAAACUUAACAAAAAACAGCUUAUUUCUCACAUUUACGCGGGGAAAUUAUACCGGCAGACAAGUAUUAUUUGUAGUGUCUUUAAUAUUGACAAGAGGUGGCCGUCAGAAAUACGCUAAUUUUUUGUAGUGUCUUUAAUUGUAGAUUUUCACGACAGAUACUCAAGGAAAGGAUUCAAUGCGAUGAUCGAGCCGAUGAGUGACCUAAUCAAUCUCCAGAGCAUCGGGAACUUCGAUCAAGCGACUUUGGAAAUUGAAAACCUCACUGGCGACUCGAAGUGCUAGGGUUUUCACUGGACAAUUCUAGGGGUGAGGUUAUUCGAAAUUUGGAAGAAGAGAAAUUAACGAUUCAAGCAAGGGAAAUUCAGAAGCAAAGAGUCGAUCAUAAAGGAUUACAAAGUCACCACAUGUAUUGAUUUCAGAGAAUCAAGCUUCAAAAGACAAUACAAGAACAACCAAAAGUCUUGCCGCGGGUCUAACCCUAACCUUAACUUCGGUUAACUUUGCAUUUUAAUUGUUGUUGUAAACUUUGUGUUUUAAUUAAUGUUAAAGUAACCCAAUAAAAAAAAUGUAAUGUCUGCAAUCUCGCUGACAUAAAUAUACUAUAAGAAUAUUUUAAGAAUCUUUGUUUGUUUGUUUUGUGUAUUUGAACAUGAAUCUGUUUUUUUAAAAUAAUAAAUAUUCAUUAAUUGCAUGCCUAAAUUAACUAUUAGAAUUCAGGACUGCAAUUAUUAGAUUCUAUUUUUAAAUUUAAUUUAAUUUCAUUUUCAUGUCGAUUCUUCAAGAGUGCAAGAGGGCAGACUUGCAGUUGAAUUGAUGAAAAAUAUUUUAAAAUCGAAAGUCCAAUUUCUUAA